CUACGGGUUGCUGCAGUAAGGAAUAUUGCGCAAUGGAGGCAACUCUGACGCAGCCAUGCCGCGUGCAGGAAGAAGGCCUUAUGGGUCGUAAACUGCUUUUAUUUAGGAAUAAACCCCCGAACGUGUUCGGGGCUGAAGGUACUAAACGAAUAAGCACCGGCUGAACUCCGUGCCAGCAGCCGCGGUAAUACGGAGGGUGCAAGCGUUAUCCGGAUUUAUUGGGUUUAAAGGGUGCGCAGGCGGGCUAUUAAGUCAGUGGUGAAAUCCCGGGGCUCAACUCCGGAACUGCCAUUGAUACUGAUAGUCUUGAGUUUGGUUGAAGUGGGCGGAAUGUAGCAUGUAGCGGUGAAAUGCAUAGAUAUGCUACAGAACACCAAUCGCGAAGGCAGCUCACUAAGCCAAAACUGACGCUCAUGCACGAAAGCGUGGGGAUCAAACAGGAUUAGAUACCCUUGUAGUC
rnacentral:rRNA from 1 species